rnacentral:rRNA from 1 species
AUAUUGGUCAAUGGACGCAAGUCUGAACCAGCCAUCCCGCGUGUGCGAUGAAGGCCUUCGGGUUGUAAAGCACUUUUGGCAGGGAAGAAACGGCGCUGGUUAAUACCUGGCGUCACUGACGGUACCUGCAGAAUAAGCACCGGCUAACUACGUGCCAGCAGCCGCGGUAAUACGUAGGGUGCAAGCGUUAAUCGGAAUUACUGGGCGUAAAGCGUGCGCAGGCGGUUCGGAAAGAAAGAUGUGAAAUCCCAGAGCUUAACUGUGGAACUGCAUUUUUAACUCUCGAACUAGAGUAUGUCAGAGGGGGGUAGAAUUCCACGUGUAGCAGUGAAAUGCGUAGAGAUGUGGAGGAAUACCGAUGGCGAAGGCAGCCCCCUGGGAUAAUACUGACGCUCAUGCACGAAAGCGUGGGGAGC